rnacentral:rRNA from 1 species
UACGAAGGGGCUAGCGUUGCUCGGAAUCACUGGGCGUAAAGCGCACGUAGGCGGAUUGUUAAGUCAGGGGUGAAAUCCUGGAGCUCAACUCCAGAACUGCCUUGAUACUGGCGAUCUUGAGUCCGGGAGAGGUGAGUGGAACUGCGAGUGUAGAGGUGAAAUUCGUAGAUAUUCGCAAGAACACCAGUGGCGAAGGCGGCUCACUGGCCCGGUAUGACGCUGAGGUGCGAAAGCGUGGGGAGCAAACAGGAGU